UACGUAGGGGGCAAGCGUUGUCCGGAUUUAUUGGGCGUAAAGAGCGUGUAGGCGGCCAGGUAGGUCGGUUGUGAAAACUGGAGGCUCAACCUUCAGAGGUCGACCGAAACCAUCUGGCUAGAGCCCGGGAGAGGAGAGUGGAAUUCCUGGUGUAGCGGUGAAAUGCGCAGAUAUCAGGAAGAACACCCGUGGCGAAAGCGGCUCUCUGGAACGGUACUGACGCUGAGACGCGAAAGCGUGGGGAGCGAACAGG
rnacentral:rRNA from 1 species